rnacentral:rRNA from 1 species
GUGGGGAAUAUUGCACAAUGGGGGAAACCCUGAUGCAGCGACGCCGCGUGAGUGAAGAAGUAUUUCGGUAUGUAAAGCUCUAUCAGCAGGGAAGAAAAUGACGGUACCUGACUAAGAAGCCCCGGCUAACUACGUGCCAGCAGCCGCGGUAAUACGUAGGGGGCAAGCGUUAUCCGGAUUUACUGGGUGUAAAGGGAGCGUAGGUGGCAUGGUAAGCCAGAAGUGAAAACCCAGGGCUCAACUCUGUGGAUUGCUUUUGGAACUAUCAGGCUGGAGUGCUGGAGGGGUAAGCGGAAUUCCUAGUGUAGCGGUGAAAUGCGUAGAUAUUAGGAGGAACACCGGUGGCGAAGGCGGCUUACUGGACAGAAACUGACACUGAGGCUCGAAAGCGUGGGGAGCAAACAGG